rnacentral:lncRNA from 1 species
UGUGGUUAUUUUCUCUCGUGGUAGUUUUGGUAUAGGCACUGGUGUGAUUUAGGUCCCAAUUAAAAAUCAGUUCUAAAUGUUGGCAAGCUUUGACAAUGCAAUGAAUGUGUAGGAGCUUGGUUUUAGAUGAGAGGCAAUUGGUGGUGAUGAAAAAUGACGCAUGACAUAUUGUUCAUGGGUUGGAAAUGAUCGUUAGGUUAGUGACCACCAGUAUAAGGAUCUGGAAUGG